rnacentral:rRNA from 1 species
AGAGUUUGAUCCUGGCUCAGGAUGAACGCUGGCGGUAUGCUUAACACAUGCAAGUCGAACGGUGUCUUCGGACACAGUGGCGGACGGGUGAGUAACGCGUGGGAAUCUGCCCUUAGGAGGGGGAUAACGGUUGGAAACGACCGCUAAUACCCCAUAUGCCGCAAGGUGAAAGAUUUAUUGCCUGGAGAGGAGCUCGCGUCUGAUUAGCUAGUUGGUGAGGUAAAGGCUUACCAAGGCAUCGAUCAGUAGCUGGUCUGAGAGGAUGAGCAGCCACACUGGGACUGAGACACGGCCCAGACUCCUACGGGAGGCAGCAGUGGGGAAUUUUCCGCAACGGGCGAGAGCCUGACGGAGCAAUACCGCGUGAGGGAGGAAGGCCUUUGGGUUGUAAACCUCUUUUCUCAGGGAAGAAGAUCUGACGGUACCUGAGGAAUAAGCAUCGGCUAACUCCGUGCCAGCAGCCGCGGUAAUACGGAGGAUGCAAGCGUUAUCCGGAAUCAUUGGGCGUAAAGCGUCCGCAGGUGGUUUUUCAAGUCUGCUGUUAAAGACUGGAGCUCAACUCCGGAAAGGCAGUGGAAACUGAGAAACUAGAGUUCGGUAGGGGUAGCGGGAAUUCCCAGUGUAGCGGUGAAAUGCGUAGAUAUUGGGAAGAACAUCGGUGGCGAAGGCGCGCUACUGGACCGAAACUGACACUCAGGGACGAAAGCUAGGGUAGCGAAAGGGAUUAGAUACCCCUGUAGUCCUAGCUGUAAACGAUGGAAACUAGGUGUGGCUUGUAUCGACCCGAGCCGUGCCGUAGCUAACGCGUUAAGUUUCCCGCCUGGGGAGUACGCACGCAAGUGUGAAACUCAAAGGAAUUGACGGGGGCCCGCACAAGCGGUGGAGUAUGUGGUUUAAUUCGAUGCAACGCGAAGAACCUUACCAGGGCUUGACAUGUCGCGAAUCUUGGUGAAAGCUGAGAGUGCCUUCGGGAGCGCGAACACAGGUGGUGCAUGGCUGUCGUCAGCUCGUGUCGUGAGAUGUUGGGUUGAGUCCCGCAACGAGCGCAACCCUCGUCUUUAGUUGCCAUCAUUAAGUUGGGCACUUUAGAGAGACUGCCGGUGACAAACCGGAGGAAGGUGGGGAUGACGUCAAGUCAGCAUGCCCCUUACGCCCUGGGCUACACACGUACUACAAUGGUUGGGACAAAGGGCAGCAAACCCGCGAGGGUAAGCGAAUCUCAUCAAACCCAGCCUCAGUUCAGAUUGCAGGCUGCAACUCGCCUGCAUGAAGGAGGAAUCGCUAGUAAUCGCAGGUCAGCAUACUGCGGUGAAUUCGUUCCCGGGCCUUGUACACACCGCCCGUCACACCAUGGAAGCUGGUCACGCCCGAAGUAGUUACCCUAACCUUUCGGGGGGGGGACUCCUAAGGCAGGGCUAGUGGCUGGGGC